rnacentral:tRNA from 1 species
GGAUGGUUUGCUGAGCAGGUUAAUGUACUGGUCUUGAAAAUUAGCAAGGGCUAGCACUCUGCGUGAGUACGAAUCUCACACAUCCA